ensembl:miRNA aca-mir-5434 aca-mir-5434
AACCAUACAACACAGUUGCAGUACUAUGAUUCUGCUUUAACUACCGCUAAGUGAAAUUAGAGUACUGUAACUGGGUUGUGUGUAA